rnacentral:misc_RNA from 1 species
GAAAUGCGAUAAGUAAUGUGAAUUGCAGAAUUCCGUGAAUCAUCGAAUCUUUGAACGCAGAUUGCGCCCUCUGGUAUUCCGGGGGGCAUGCCUGUCCGAGCGUCAUUGCGAACCCCUCAAGCACGGCUUGUGUGAUGGGCCCUCCCGCGUCUUGGUCGUCAAGACGGGCCCGAAAUGCAGUGGCGGCUUCGCGGUUAUCCGAUCAGCCAGAGCGUAUGGGGACUUUCUCUCUGUCACACGCCCGCGGCGCGGACCGACGCCUGUCGACCUUCAUUCAUCGUUUUCUCGGUUGACCUCGGAUCAGGUAGGGAUACCCGCUGAACUUAAGC